AGUUUUGCACAGUGGCAGUAUUGUAGCCAAUGAGGUUUAUCCAAGGUGUGAUUACUGCUAAUGAAAAUAUAGGGGUAGAGAGGAGACAAGAAAUUAUUAUUUACCAAUAACUAGUCAGCUGCGGAAUGAAUGCAAAAAGGCUCAUGUGAUUACAUGCACUGUAAAUCUGUUUGAAAAUUUAUCAUUAAA
rnacentral:snRNA from 11 species